AUCUAUAUUAUGAUAGUAUCAGAUCCCAUCUGAUCUUGGAAGCUAAGUUGCAUAAAUCCUGGUUAGUACUUGGAUGGGGGACCACCAAGGAAUGCCAGGUUCUGUAGGCU
rfam:Anolis carolinensis chromosome 2, whole genome shotgun sequence.